rnacentral:rRNA from 1 species
GAGGUAGAGCACUGAAUAGGCUAGGGGGCAUAGCGCUUACCGAACCUUAUCAAACUCCGAAUGCCACAUACUAUCAGUCCGGCAGUCAGACUAUGAAAGAUAAGUUCCAUGGUCAAAAGGGAAACAGCCAGAUCGUCAGCUAAGGUCCCAAAGUGUAAGUUAAGUGGAAAAGGAUGUGGGAUUUCUAAGACAACUAGGAUGUUGGCUUAGAAGCAGCCACUCAUUAAAAGAAUGCGUAAUAGCUCACUAGUCAAGAGAUCCUGCGCCGAAAAUGUCCGGGGCUCAAACUUACCACCGAAGCUACGGGUUCACGCAUUUGCGUGAGCGGUAGAGGAGCGUCGUAAUCGGGCUGAAGUCGUACCGUAAGGAGCGGUGGACUGAUUACGAGUGAGAAUGUUGGCAUUAGUAGCGAGAUGUAGGCGAGAAUCCUACAGGCCGAAUAUCUAAGGUUUCCUGAGUAAAGUUUGUCUUCUCAGGGUUAGUCGGGACCUAAGGCGAGGCCGAAAGGCGUAGUCGAUGGACAAUUGGUUGAUAUUCCAAUACCACUAUAAUCGUUAUUAUCGAUGGUGUGACGGAGAAGGAUAGGAUGUGCUAGCUAUUGGAUGCUAGUCUAAGCGUUUAGGGAGUUGGGAUUGGCAAAUCCGUUCCAACAAUUCUGAGGCGUGAUGGGGAAGGUUCUACGGAACCGAAGUAUCUGAUUCCAUGCUUCCAAGAAAAGCAUCUAGAAAGAGAAGUAGUGCCCGUACCGCAAACCGACACAGGUAGAUGAGGAGAGAAUCCUAAGGCCGACGGAAGAAUUGCAGUUAAGGAACUAGGCAAAUUGACCCCGUAACUUCGGGAGAAGGGGUGCCUGAGAAAUCAGGCCGCAGAGAAUAGGCACAAGCAACUGUUUAACAAAAACACAGGUCUCUGCUAAAGCGAAAGCUGAUGUAUAGGGGCUGACGCCUGCCCGGUGCUGGAAGGUUAAGGGGAACACUUAGUGGUAACGCGAAGGUGUGAACUUAAGCCCCAGUAAACGGCGGCCGUAACUAUAACGGUCCUAAGGUAGCGAAAUUCCUUGUCAGGUAAGUUCUGACCCGCACGAAUGGCGUAAUGAUUUGUGCACUGUCUCAACUGCAAAUCCGGCGAAGUUGUAGUGCGAGUGAAGAUGCUCGCUACCCGCGAUUGGACGGAAAGACCCCGUAGAGCUUUACUGUAGCUUAGCAUUGAAUUUCGGUAUUGUCUGUACAGGAUAGGUGGGAGACUGGGAAACUAGGGCGUCAGCCUUGGUGGAGUCGUUGUUGGGAUACCACCCUGAUAGUAUUGAAGUUCUAACUGGAUGCCAUGAAACUGGUGACAGGACAUUGUUAGGUGGGCAGUUUGACUGGGGCGGUCGCCUCCUAAAAUGUAACGGAGGCGCCCAAAGGUUCCCUCAGAACGGUCGGAAAUCGUUCGAAGAGUGUAAAGGCAGAAGGGAGCCUGACUGCGACACCUACAAGUGGAGCAGGGACGAAAGUCGGGCUUAGUGAUCCGGUGGUACCUCGUGGGAGGGCCAUCGCUCAACGGAUAAAAGCUACCUCGGGGAUAACAGGCUGAUCUCCCCCAAGAGUUCACAUCGACGGGGAGGUUUGGCACCUCGAUGUCGGCUCGUCGCAUCCUGGGGCUGAAGUAGGUCCCAAGGGUUGGGCUGUUCGCCCAUUAAAGCGGCACGCGAGCUGGGUUCAGAACGUCGUGAGACAGUUCGGUCCCUAUCCGUCGCGGGCGUAGGAAAUUUGAGAGGAGCUGUCCUUAGUACGAGAGGACCGGGAUGGACUGACCUAUGGUGUACCAGUUGUUUCGCCAGAAGCAUAGCUGGAUAGCUAAGUCGGGAAGGGAUAAACGCUGAAAGCAUCUAAGUGUGAAGCCCACCUCAAGAUGAGAUUUCCCAUAGCAUAAGCUAGUAAGACCCCUUGAAGACUACAAGGUUGAUAGGUCAGAGGUGUAAGUGUGGUAACAUAUUUAGCUGACUGAUACUAAUAGGUCGAGGGCUUGACCAA